UGGAAAUGGCAAUUUUUAAAUUGUUCUGAAGUUCAUAUUUUUUUAUAGAGAAGCUAGCAUCUUCUUGCUUUUUGUUUUAUGUAUAAGAUUUCUGUUUCCAUUUGACAGGCUUUUAGAUUUGAACAUAUAUUCUCCAGGUUUAGUACUUACAGGGAUUUUGGAAGAGUCUCACAUACUCACUUCAUAUAAAUCGUAGAAACUACUUCUGUCUUAGAUCUGUGGUUCUCCACCCGCCGUCUGUUUUAUUAUUUUACCAUCAUUUAAAAUCUCCUUAUCUCAUAAGCACUUACAGAGACUCUCUCUCUUCACUAUAACUUCAGGAACAGAUUAAGUUUGCUUUUCAAAGCCAUUUAUCAUCAAAGAUAUGUUUUCGUUAGUGUUUUCUUUUGUAAAUCAUUUUAUUAUUGUAAGGUGCCUCUGGAUGCUGGCAUGAUAAUAGGCUAUAUAAAUGAUUUUGUCCUAUAUUUGUGUUGUAUAUACUUUAUUGUAAUAGCACUCUCGGGUCAAAAGCAGCCAAUAUUAUUCCGAUUAAUUCCUGUCUAGGCACUCAUAAAUUGUCCCUUAAUUUGCAGAGAGAAAACGAAGUCAUAUGAAGCAUAACCUUUCCCCGCUGCAGAAACUGCACCUGGCUUUUCUGGGUGAGAGGAGGCCCACCUCCCCGCGUCCUUCAAAGCAGCAGGCCUCGCUGCCACAAGGGUUUUCCUAGGCGUUUUACUGAUCUGAGACAUGAAAUGUAAAGUUGUGGAAUAAGAUUCCUAGGAAGUGGCUUGACGCUGCUUCAUCUUUUUGCUAUAUGUGCUUCCUCUCCAGAGAGCUGGGAACAGAUAAAUUCGAGCAUUGAGAAGACAAAAUCACUUACAUUUGUCAUUUUAGCAUUUAGGCUCCUAGGAUUGUCUAAAGGAUUCCUGAGAUAUAAAAUAAAGAUAUUUCUGUGCAAGAGAGAGUGGAAGAAUGUUUGCAUGCCCCUUUCCCUAAUGUACACAGUAUCCACAACAGUUCGCUCUGGGAGCCAAUGAGGGGAGGAAGAGAAAGAGCACUACACGGGGCCUGCUUGAGAAGUUUUCUCCAAUGUGUCAUUAAGGUGUUUCAG
rnacentral:lncRNA from 1 species